CUCCCAGACUCCUACGGGAGGCAGCAGUGAGGAAUAUUGGUCAAUGGCCGAAGGGCUGAACCAGCCAAGCCGCGUGUAGGAAUAAGGCCCUACGGGUCGUAAACUUCUUUAGUCAGGGAACAAAGGGUGCCACGUGUGGCGCUGUGAGUGUACCUGAAGAAUAAGCAUCGGCUAACUCCGUGCCAGCAGCCGCGGUAAUACGGAGGAUGCGAGCGUUAUCCGGAUUUAUUGGGUUUAAAGGGUGCGUAGGCGGAAUGCCAAGUCAGGGGUAAAAUCGCGGGGCUCAACCUCGCUCCGCCGUUGAAACUGGGUGCCUUGAGUGGGCGAGAAGUACGCGGAAUGCGUGGUGUAGCGGUGAAAUGCAUAGAUAUCACGCAGAACUCCGAUUGCGAAGGCAGCGUACCGGCGCCCAACUGACGCUGAAGCACGAAGGCGUGGGUAUCGAACAGGAUUAGAUACCCGCGUAA
rnacentral:rRNA from 1 species